rnacentral:rRNA from 1 species
GACGUAGGGCGCGAGCGUUGUCCGGAUUUAUUGGGCGUAAAGAGCUCGUAGGCGGCUUGUCGCGUCGUCUGUGAAAUCCCGCGGCUCAACCGCGGGUCUGCAGUCGAUACGGGCAGGCUAGAGUUCGGUAGGGGAGACUGGAAUUCCUGGUGUAGCGGUGAAAUGCGCAGAUAUCAGGAAGAACACCCGUGGCGAAGGCGGUUCUCUGGGACGGUACUGACGCUGAGACGCGAAAGCGUGGGGAGCGAACAGG